rnacentral:rRNA from 1 species
UACCAGCUCUUCGAGUGGUAGGGAUGAUUAUUGGGCUUAAAGCGUCCGUAGCCGGCUUAGCAAGUCUCCUGUUAAAUUCAGCGACCUAAUCGUUGAGCCGCGGGAGAUACUACUAGGCUAGGAGGCGGGAGAGGUCGACGGUACUUCCGGGGUAGGGGUGAAAUCCUAUAAUCCCGGGAGGACCACCAGUGGCGAAGGCUGUCGACUAGAACGCGCUCGACGGUGAGGGACGGAAGCUGGGGGAGCGAACCGGAUUAGAUACCCGGGUAGUCCCAGCUGUAAACGAUGCGGGCUAGGUGUUGGGGUGGCUACGGGCCACUUCAGUGCCGCAGGGAAACCAUUAAGCCCGCCGCCUGGGGAGUACGGCCGCAAGGCUGAAACUUAAAGGAAUUGGCGGGGGAGCACCACAAGGCGUGAAGCUUGCGGUUC